rnacentral:rRNA from 1 species
GUAGCGUAACUGACGCUGAAGCUCGAAAGCGUGGGUAUCGAACAGGAUUAGAUACCCUGGUAGUCCACGCGGUAAACGAUGGAUGCUCGCUGUUUGCCUUUAGAGGUAAGUGGCCAAGCGAAAGCGUUAAGCAUCCCACCUGGGGAGUACGCCGGCAACGGUGAAACUCAAAGGAAUUGACGGGGGCCCGCACAAGCGGAGGAACAUGUGGUUUAAUUCGAUGAUACGCGAGGAACCUUACCCGGGCUUGAACUGCCAGCGGACGAUUCAGAGAUGAUGAGGCCCUUCGGGGCGCUGGUGGAGGUGCUGCAUGGUUGUCGUCAGCUCGUGCCGUGAGGUGUCGGCUUAAGUGCCAUAACGAGCGCAACCCCUGUCUUCAGUUGCCAUCAGGUAAUGCUGGGCACUCUGUAGAUACUGCCACCGCAAGGUGUGAGGAAGGUGGGGAUGACGUCAAAUCAGCACGGCCCUUACGUCCGGGGCUACACACGUGUUACAAUGGCGCAUACAGAGAGUCGGUCUCCGGCAACGGAGGUCUAAUCAUCAAAAUGCGUCGUAGCUCGGAUUGGGGUCUGCAACCCGACCCCAUGAAGCUGGAUUCGC